rnacentral:rRNA from 1 species
GCGAUCAUACCAGCACUAAUGCACCGGAUCCCAUCAGAACUCCGAAGUUAAGCGUGCUUGGGCGAGAGCAGUACUAGGAUGGGUGAUCCCCUGGGAAGUCCUCGUGUUGCACCU